GCUCCAUUAUUGGACACCUCCGAGCCCAUCCGCAUUCCACCGAACACCUUGCGCUGCACCCGCCCACGCUCAUCCGUUUGGACCCGCCGCCGCCACCUGGUUGCUUGCUUUACUUGCUACUGCUGCCUGCCUGCCUGCCUGCCUAGCUAGCUAGCUACCCUAAUCAGCGCGCUUUACUCGUCGUCUGAGGUUUCCGGGGUUGGCUCCCGGUUGAGGUCGGGGUUCUUGGGGCGGCGGCGAUGGAACGACAGCGGCUGCGGAGAGGUGCCGCCGCCGCAGUGGAGCGCGUCGACGCGGGCGCCGACCUCGGCCGCCUUCUUGCGGAUGGCGGCGGCUGUGAGCCCCGCGCCGUCCUCGGGGUUGUCGGCCACCGCCGCGCCGUCGAGCUGGUCGGGGAAGUUGAGCCGCGCGGAGCGGCCGCGGAGGCAGAAGACGGCCGUGUCGUAGGCGCACGCGGCGGCGACGGCGGUGGAGUAGGACCCGAGCCAGAUCCGCGACCGCUUGUUCGGCUCGCGGAUCUCCGCCACCCACUUGCCCCACUUGCGCAUCCGGACGCCGCGGUACUGCCUCCCUCCGCCGCGGCCGUGCCCUGCCACCGGCGCGACCGCUCCACCGGCGCCCAGCACCGGCGCAGGCGGCUUUGAAGCCGGGGAGGCGGCAGGCGCGGGCUGGGGCGGCGGGCAGAAGGCAGUGGCGUCCACCUCCAUCCCGCGGUUGGGCAGCAGCAGUUUGCCGCGGCGGCGGCGGGGGUGGUGGUGGUCGUGGCCCUCGUGGUAGAGAUGGCAACGGGUCGGGUUCGGGUCGGGUGGAGAAAAAACCCACCCGCGACCGCACCCGCGGAAUAAGCCCAAACCCGCCCGCGACCACACCCGCGGGUGAAAUCCCACACCCGCACCCGCACCCGUCGGGUUUCGGGUGGGUUUCGGGUCCCCGUCGGGUGUGCGUGCUGUGACCAGCAGACCGGCUGACGCCAGGUGAAGGCCCACUGGCCCAGCAGCAAAAAACAGUUCACAGCAGCACUCGUCGGUGUAGCUGCACUUGAGGAACCUCCUGCAACCACAGCACUGCUCUUUGUGGGAACUUGACGACUGCUCCUGCUCGGCCUCGAAGCACCUUGGUCAGACAUCAGACUCUGCAAUUUACAAAUUAGAGCUGCUCAAGUCAAGCUGUGCAAGGGCCAAGGGACAUGCUCACGGCUCACCUCACCUACAAGGAUAGGAACCUCGUACGUGGUGGGAGCAGGCUGCGCCGCUGGCCGCUGCAGUCGGACUCCGGUGGUCCUGGGGAGUGCCGGAGUGGGGAGUGCCGGUCCUAGAUAGUGGAGACUUGGACUCCUGGCUUGGCCUCGGACGCUCGGUGGCUCCUAGGGAUGCGUCCUCCUCCGGUGGUCCUGGGGAUCCGGCAGGAGCAGGAUGCGGCGGCCCUGGGGAUGCGUCCUCCGGUGGUGGUGACGGCGGAGGGGGUGGCCGGGGUGGGGCGGGCAGCGGCGGGCGGAUCUAUCGUGGCCGCGGCCGCCUGGAGCCCUGGACGCCUGGUGCAGUGGUGCUAGCCUGCUAAUCUGCUAUGGCGGCCGGUUGGGGACUUGGGGUUGAGGGAUUUGGGUUUUUCUCAGGGCCCACUGGAAUACAAACUGGAUGCGCACGGGACUUGGGCGGGUGGCCGGCUGCAACUCUGCGCUUCGGGCGUAGCUCCGGGUUCCGGGUGACCCGCGGGCGAAAAUCAAAACCCGCACCCGCACCCGUAAUGCUUCGGGUCGGGUUUGGGUCUAACCCGUGGGUGGAUUUUUACACCCGAACCCGAACCUGACGGGUGCAAAACCCGACGGGGCCCGAACCCGCGGGUGAAAUUGCCAUCCCUACCUCGUGGGCGCUGCUUGGCUUGCUACUGGUCUGCGUGUAUCUCUUCUCUUUCCCUCUUUCUCUUGCGCCUAUGAGCGGUGGGGGUAUAUAAAUAGUUGGGAUUAGGCGAACGGCCAGGUGGGGAUUAGGCGUGGGGGCGUGACUGGGUGGGUGGGAUGGCGAUUAGGGCGUGUGCGUGGCGGGAUUUUUCGCGGGCGCGAGUCGGUGCGCACGGCUGUGGGCUGCCUGGUGUGUGGCGACAGGGACGGCCGGCGCUUGCGCGCUGUGAGUGUGUGACGGUGACUAUGAGCUUAUCGCCAGGGAGUUUUUAGCAGAGUAAACUAGUCGCUCGUUAGGUUUUGGUGUGACAGGUGCGGUCAUUAGUGCGCUCGAUAUAAUUGAUGGUCGGUGCGCACUGGGAACGCCGUGAUGCAACAUGGAAUCUUGAUAUGGCACGCUCAGUUCUGUCUGAACGCCGCAAAAGCUACGAGGGGUGGACAUGUACAGGUACAGCGACAAACGAUGGCAACGCAAGUAGGCGUCGAUGCCAGCUUUACGUUACGUGCACGGUGCACCGCAUCUGGCUGGCCCCGCCGCGGCGGCGGCGGCGGUAACGAGUGCUGUGCUUGGCUAAUCAAGAGAGCCGUCGCAGUUACGCAACGGGAUCAUGUAACCCCGGGGUGGCCAGCCGAUGCGACCGUCCACCACGCAAGAGACGCGACCGAGCCGAGAGGCGUGCGCUGCCGACGGGGGCCGAGCAGCUAGCUACUAGCCAGCACCUCGCCCGUGUCAGCUGCGGCGCGACACGCGACCGUCUACGAACGCGAGAGCCGUGUGCGACGCCGGACGGUGGCCGAACAGCCCACCCUCGCCAAUGUCAGCAGCGCCGCGUGUCGCGCUGCAAGGAGGGCAGCGAACGGACGGACGGGCACCGGGAUGGGCCGGCCGCGAGCCGAGACGGUGCGCGGCGACCGACGAGGACGGGACAGCUAGCACACGCCGACAUGCGUGGGAGAGCGGCGGCCACGUGGCGACGCGGACAGACUCCCCCUCCCCCCGGCUAGAUACGGGAAGCGAGCGCUGCGAGCCUAUGACCUCGAGCGGAGUGGGAGAAAGAGAAGCCGUGCCGGACGGGCGGGGCGUCCCGUGUGUCCGUGUCGCGUAGCGCGGGGCCCGCCACCACAGCCCGACAAGGCGGGAGCGACCGCGACGCCGUUGUUAUCCGCUUUGGUUCGGUUCGGUCCUCCGGGGUGUGCCGAUGCCGAUACCCCGAUGCCGCCCGCACUCCCGCGCACGCGGGGCCCUGCUGCCGUGCGGUGCCGGCCCUUGCAUUUCUUUUCCUGCCUCUCGUUCGUCAACGACGCCACGCGGGGUAGGGCGGCUGACGGUUUGGGGUUGUCUGGUUCCGUAUCCUUGAGCGGCUGGAGUUGGCCGGUGGUCGGCCGGGUCACCGACUCGCCGCUCCCUUGGUGAGUUUGUCCCGUCACGCUGGGGCCACUGAAGGCGAUCCGCUGCUUCGCCCGUAGUACUAGUGGAUUUCGCGACGCAGCUUCCAGACAGUUCCUUCACUGAGACAGGUGGUUCGAUGGCAGCGUCGGUAGCUGGAUACGGAACCACGUUCGCGAAUCGCGGCUGUCGUCCUGUACUAGCAGGUGGUUUUCACGUGGCGCUCAUGUUUUCGCACGGUCCAGGGUGUCUGGCAGGUGGGACAGCCGGACAGGUUUACCGUACAGAGUGAAGCAGAAGAUAUACGCCAACGGAAGCAGGACAUAAAAGGAUACUGUUAUUAGGGAUAACGUUUCUCAUUUUUUUCAUAUACUGGAUGAUUUGUUGAUUGGUUGGCUACGCUCAUAGCCGUGGCGUUCCGCUGACCAUAUUUGGCGUGUGUUUUGAUAGUUGCAUAGCAUCUCUAUCGUCUGCUCCCACGCAUAGAGCGUUGGUGUUUUUUUAUGGGUAGCUUGCAUGUGUGGAAACGUAACUUUCUCUUGUUUCCAGCGGCCCAGACUGGCACGAUAGUGGCGCGAGACGCCCCUACAACCAAUCAUGCGUAUAGAUGUUCUGCCAACAGCGAAAAAGAAAAAAAUAUGGAAAGAAUCUCGAACAUACACCAUCCAGGGAAGAGCUAGAGAUUUUUUUUUUGUUAUUAAUGGGUUCAGGAAUAUACGUAUAACUAUAAAUCAUAAUAAUACCUCAUAUAGAUAUUAUAUAGAUUAAAGGGUGAAAACAUACCAGCUGAAUAGGAUCCUUAAACCAUAUGUUUGUAUUAUGUUUAAAAAACACUUUGAUGCUUUGCAAUGUAUAUGUAGUUUCCUCAUUCCUGAUAUAAUUAAACAAAAAAAUUAUGUUAAUUUCACAAGUUUUGAACAUUUGAUCAUGCACAAUUAAUUGAAGUACUAUAAAUACUCACAUGUUAAAGCUCCCCACUUCGAAAUUUCAUCUUCUUAAAUCGUAUGUUUGGUUACUCGUACCGUCUCGUCUUGGACCACCGCAUGCGUUGACUCUUGACUCUAUCUAAGCUCCUGUUUGGUUGCCUGCACAAGGGAGACGCAGGCUGCAUGAGCGGAUGCAAAACAAGUUAUUUAGCUAUUUGGUUGCAUCCACAUGUACGUAGAAAAUUGCCGUAUCGGAUUAGCCAAGGCCACCCGAGCCUGCGCGUCCAGAUACAGGCAUCCAAUCAGGCGAAAAAGAUCAAUCACCUCAUCAUUACCAAUGGUUGAAAACAUAUCUACAUAGCAUAUUAGGCAA